GUCUCUCGAUAAUAAUUUUGGACGUACAAAAGUAGAAACAAACAAAAAUAUCAAAAGUAAAAUGAAUUUCAAACCACUAUUUGAUUGAAAAUGCCAAUUCUUUGUCCAUUUGCAGAGCGUGGAAACUACAUCACAUUUCACUUUUAAUUUGGAGUGCUACUUUACUUGCUUUGUGUACCCACACUGUCACAAUUUGUCGUAACCCAAAUGCACAUUAUUUUUCUUCAUUUGUUUUCCAUUCCCAUUUCAUUAGCUGUAAUUUUUCUGCCCUUUAAAUACCUCUCUCUCUCCCCUUUCUCACACCCAAGCCAAAAUCUUCUUCUCUUUAAUCAUCCUCCUCAUCCCCUCCUCCCGCCCCUCGCCAACACUCAGAAUUAAAAAAAAAUAUAUAUAGAAAAAGAAAAAUCUCUUACGAGAACCAAAAAGAAAAAAAAAAAAAAAAAUCAAAAGUCUUGUUCAUUGCCGUCCCUCUCACUCUCACCCUCUCCCUCUCAAAACCUCCAUUAGAGCUCUUUUGUGAGCUUGAAGAAACUAAAUUUCAGCCAUAGAAAUUGCAAGUUCCAUAAUUAAAGUUUGUUUGGGCAACCAGAAAACAAGAGUUAAGGAGAAAGAAAGAAGAAAGGAAGGAGUUGAAGAGGAAGAAAAUUCUGCAAUUCAAUGUUAGUGAGUUCACUUUAAAUUUUUAGUUUAAUUAAAAUAUUUAUAGCAUGAAGAACUUGAAAAUAUGCUUAAAAUGAAAUGAAAAUAAUUAUUGGAGAACCAGAAGUAAAUUUGGCUAGCUAGUGUUUGAUGGGUGUACACAUGUAUUUUGAUUGAAUUGUGUUGACUUGAGAUUAUUUGGAGGUUGGGAGUUGUGGAAAAUUUAUUGGAAGUGUUUUUCUCAGGUAUUUGAAGAACUGUUUUCUCAAAAUACAGACGGCACUCUGCCGAAAUUUUUGUAAAAAUUGCAGAGAUUUUAAAUAUUCAAAAAUUUGAUUUAUGUUUGGAC
rnacentral:misc_RNA from 1 species